rnacentral:rRNA from 1 species
UGGGGAAUAUUGCGCAAUGGGCGAAAGCCUGACGCAGCGACGCCGCGUGCGGGAUGAAGGCCUUCGGGUUGUAAACCGCUUUUAUCGGGGAGCAAGCGAGAGUGAGUGUACCCGUUGAAUAAGCACCGGCUAACUACGUGCCAGCAGCCGCGGUAAUACGUAGGGUGCAAGCGUUAUCCGGAUUUAUUGGGCGUAAAGGGCUCGUAGGCGGUUCGUCGCGUCUGGUGUGAAAGUCCAUCGCUUAACGGUGGAUCUGCGCCGGGUACGGGCGGGCUGGAGUGCGGUAGGGGAGACUGGAAUUCCCGGUGUAACGGUGGAAUGUGUAGAUAUCGGGAAGAACACCAAUGGCGAAGGCAGGUCUCUGGGCCGUUACUGACGCUGAGGAGCGAAAGCGUGGGGAGCGAACAGG